rnacentral:tRNA from 1 species
GCCUGUUGCAAAUGGUUAAUGUGCUCAGCUGCUAACUGAAAGUUUGGAGGUUCAAAUCCACCCAGAGGUG